UCUUCACCAUAGGUUAUCCGCUAUUUUUUUCGAAUUUUAGAGUGACCGAGCUCCGAUUCCAGUGGGAAUGGUGGAAUCUGCAUCAUGUAUUGUUAAGUGGUUUUGUAUAGGUGGCAUUUCUCUAGGGGAUAUUUCUAGGGAAACCCAUCAAGUAAUUGCCACUGUAACGAAUAGGAUAGGCAUGAAAUCAAAUUCUGGAGAAGGCGACGAGGAUCCCAUUCGCUAGACCCCACUUUCUGACGUUGUUGACAGAUACUCUCCUACACUGCCACAUCUUAAAGGUCUUCAAAACGGAGAUACUGCUACGAGUGCCUUCAAAUAGGUUGCAUUGGGGCGGUUCGGUGUGACUCUAACGUUUUUUGGUUGAUGCUAACCAAAUAGAAUCAAAACCGCUCAAGGUGUAAAACCAGGUGAAGGUGGUCAAUGUAACGCUCUGC